CUCAUAUCUCCUCUAAAGAACCAGCCAUCGUUACCUUUUAGAUAUCAUUAUCUCACUAGCAGUAACUUUUUCAGGUUUAGUUUUUGGAGUGAGAGCAUAAAGAAAACUGGUUAUGUUUGUGUCUAAUUGGUUGGCUCUUUGGAAAGGAAGAAGGUUCCCUUGAAGAAGAGAGAAGACUAGGACUACAGUACCAUGCAUGAACUGGGGAUGCUCUCUGGAGGGAGAGAGGAGCCACAGGUGGUGUUGUGUUGGGCAGCUCUGACGCAGACAUUGCAGAAAUCUCCAGUGAUUUCUUUGCAACAUACUCAAACUAAACCCCGGUCCAGGAACCCCACUCUUGUGGCAUGUAUUUUGCCUGGUAGCAAGCAUGAACAGCUUUGGAAUCUGAACCCUGGAGUUGAAUCCCACCUCCACUAAUGGGUGGGUUGUAUUACCUUGAACCAUUUACUUAAAUCUUAAGCCACAGUUCAUUGUUAAAACAGUAAUAGUGAUACCUAUUCUGUGGGAGAGGUUGUGAAAAUUAGACAAUCUACGUGAAAUACUUCUUGUUUCACAGAUAUUUGGGAAAUAUUGGGUCAUUACUACUCUCUUUUCCUUUCUGUGUGGCUUCCCACUUAUCCCAGCCAGCCAUGCAUCAUCUGAUGCAGAACUGGCUGAGAACCUCUGUACUUUGGCAAAUGUGUAUGUUCUUUUCACAUAUUCUAGGUCUGUCUG
rnacentral:lncRNA from 1 species